GGUGAUCGAAGUCAGCUAUUUUUCUGCAUCCAGCAGCCACAAUAGUCAUCGGUGUACUGCUACAGGAGGAGACAUUUUUCAGAAUAACCUGUCCCUUUCCUCUCAGGUUAUGAAAAGAUUACUUGAUUGUAUUAUUAUUCUCUAAAUUUGUAAUUUAGGACUCCGCAUGUGCUAGUAGUAGCAUUAAGCCUGUUAGGGACUGUAUGAAUUCAAGUUUUUGUAUUAAUAAAUGAAAAAUUUUUAUGA